CCCCUCGGAGCCGUGCGAGGGACGUUUAUUUUACGUCUUCCGACCUGAAUACCGCUACCACCCGUUUAAUCGUAGCCCGUUCAAAGGCUUGGAGUGGGCCUAGACUAUUUUUAAUAUACCUCUGAUUGGAUUCGUCUGACAGAAGAAAGUCACAUACGCCUAGGAUGCUUCAAAGGAGGGCUCGCUGACAGCCGCGCACCUCGUCCGCGUGGACGGUCCGCGCACGACAGCGCAUGCGCGAGGUGAAUGUCGAGACAACGCAAGUCAAGUAGAUGGUACCGCGCGAAUGCAGCCGGUAUCAAAAUAAUCUGCAGGCGCGGGGUUGCUGGAGCGGGCCAGAUAUUAUAGCUGGGGAGCCGGUUUUGUCCCGCGGGCCGCCUGUUGCCGAUCACUGCUUUAAACGGUGUGAUAGAGGCUGAUGAGCAGAAGCUGACGGUGGAGUGUCAGGCUCAUUGACUCUCUCGCUGCAGGACUCGGUGCUUUAAUAGCCUCUGAUGGCAUGACACCAGAUUCCAGCCUCUGACCUCCCACAGGCUGCAGCACUCUCCACUGCAUUCAUGCCCAGUGGGAGCCAUGCGUAUCUCACACACACACAGAGCUCAGCAGAGUCAGACACAGCAGACUGCAGGGAUCGGGGACGGCUGUCUGGGGAGUGAAAGGUAAAGGGUGUGGAUCAGUGUGAUCCAGAACUGUUCGCUUUUCUGUGAGGUGCUGUGCCAGCCGUGAGCAUCUUGGCACUCAGCUUUAUGGCUUCGCUAUUAAAUCGCCAUUCAAAUAUAAAUUCAGUUAUUUAAUUCGGCCAUAAAUGUAUCCAAAUAUAAGUAAUAUGGAAUUUAAUGUCACAUUCAAAUUGAUAGAAUUGAGGUUAAAGAUUAACGGACAAAAACUCAUCAGCUGCAAAUGGCCAGAGCUACAUAAUAAAGACAUGGAGAAAAAUUGUGCAAGUCUGCGGGAUAGAACUGGACUUUAAAUACGGGAAUUCAGAAAAGAGUCACGUCUCAUGUGGUCUUAGGUUUUAAUUAGUGAAAUAAUCAAUCAAGCUGACCUCACACUAAACCUCAAAAUUGUAAUUAAACAAAUUUAAUGAAAACUUAAUAAACUAUGAUGAUGUAAUAUUGAAAAAUGAAUUAGACCUCCCCUUUACCUCUAACAAACUCAAACGUUAAGAGACCUUGAACAGGUCCACAAAAUGGCAAGUUCCCAAACCAUUAAAUAAAUUAAAGGAAAGGCUUGUGGUGCAAUCUAGAAAUGGAAUGAGAACAUAAAAGCACCAGAAGA